rnacentral:rRNA from 1 species
UACGUAGGGUCCGAGCGUUGUCCGGAAUUAUUGGGCGUAAAGAGCUCGUAGGCGGUCUGUCGCGUCGGCUGUGAAAACCUGGGGCUCAACUCCAGGCCUGCAGUCGAUACGGGCAGACUAGAGUUCGGUAGGGGAGACUGGAAUUCCUGGUGUAGCGGUGAAAUGCGCAGAUAUCAGGAGGAACACCGGUGGCGAAGGCGGGUCUCUGGGCCGUAACUGACGCUGAGGAGCGAAAGCAUGGGGAGCGAACAGG